rfam:Geobacteraceae bacterium GWC2_55_20 gwc2_scaffold_6799, whole genome shotgun sequence.
GCCCAGGUAGCUCAGUCGGUAGAGCAGAGGAUUGAAAAUCCUCGUGUCGGCGGUUCGAUUCCGUCCCUGGGCA